ensembl:lncRNA
CAGGACCCCUGCCCGAGCUCAUCCCCGCCUGAACGGACGAGACCCUAUGUGACAGAGCACUGCUGUUGUUUUUAUUUGGGGCGGGGGGGGGGGGCGCGUUCUAAACCGAACAAGGAUGAAUUUGUUCCCUCGCUCUGGCUUCCUUUUUAUCGCUCGCCAUCUUGGCUCUCUCUCUUGUCUUACUUCCUUCCUUUUUUGUUUUUCUUUGCUCUGUUGUGUUUUGAUCGUUUCAGCACUCAGAAACUCGGUUGUGAUCGCCGCUACCGUGGGACGCAAAACACACACAUCGGUACCUGAGGGGUAUCAGAAACCCGCAUUCUCAAUGAGAACACGGUGUGACCACACAACAUGCCGGUGACACAAGACCCACAGUCCCAGGGACAAUGAGGCACAGAGUAAUGCAAAACCCCCCCGGUUGCAGAUGUGUGUGUUUUUCCCAGACGGAGGCGGUAUGCUCCUCAUGUGUACAAUCAGCCCUGUGGAGUGGGGUGUUACCACGAGAAUGUCCUGGCCCACGUGAGCUUCUAACUAGUUAUUGCACAGCUAGAUACCAAAGAAUAUUGCUAUAACCUUACACAAUCUAAAGGCCUGCCGAAAACAGGUGCAGGGGAGUCCUGCUUCCUGUCAGUUACAGGAAGUCUGCAGUAGAGCACGCAUGUGAUGACAUGUGUGCUUCUCUUUAUUCCCUACUUCUUUUCUAGAGAUUAACUGGACAAGAAUUGUAGGCAGAGUUCAGUCUUAUGGAAUCCAUCCCUUAUGAUAAAAGUGACUUUCUGGGUGUCUGACCCCGUCUCCUGCAGAUUCCCCUACUGGAGGCUGCGCUCAUUGCUCUAUUCAAACCAGUGUUUUUCAAUAUAUUCCCCAGGGACUCCCAUUUCCACUGCCCGUUCGUUCCCUCUCCGACCCAGCAUUCAACUAAUCAGGUGUUAGGUGAUUAGUCUUAUGCAUUAAAUUAGAUGUGCUAACUCCUAACCCCAGUGCUACGGUCGAAGGGAAAACGUGACAAGGUCAGGAAAUCGUCCUCAGAAGGUGACCUACUUUCUUAAACACUGCAUUUGACUCCGUCUGCGGUGCGGUCUUGCUCGACGCCCUAGGGGGAUGGGGCCGGGCGCCUCAAAUGUUUGUCUGUCUCUCGGGGGCUGGGCGUCUCAAACGUCUGUCUGUCUCUCGGGGGCCGGGCGUCUCAAAAGUCUGUCUGUCUGUCUCUCGGGGGCCUGGCGUCUCUAGGGACCGCUGCCGUUCCGUUGGCUUGUGGCUCCAGCGCUGUAGAAAGACCCACGGCGCUGAAUGUGAGCGGCGUGAUUAAUUGUAAAGGAAGCCUUCCAGGCCUGCCGCCGGGCUGGGGGGCGGCCUCACAGGAGGGGACAAAGGGGCACAAGUCGCUCUGGAUCCACUCUCAACCACUUCUUUACUAGCUCAUGGAUGUAGUUGCUGCCUUAAGAGUUCACAGCGGUUGUGAUCAGGCCGCUGCAUUGGGCUGUGUUCCACUGCUCUGGGCUGGGGGGGGGGCGUUAGGCUGAACCCUUUUUGGGGAAGGGUUCAGUGUAACGACCACAGUCACCAUUCAUAUUGUUGCCCUGGCAACCAAGGUUAGCUAUUUAUUUGUCUCUACGGAUGUUUUUAUAGUUGCGAGUUUAGUUUGCUCCAUGAUUUUAUUUGGCUGUGUAACCAAAAACACGGUUUCUCUCUGCAUGUGUCGGGAACCCCCUCGUUUUAUUCAAUCAGUUGACAUGGCGAAGACUGAUAGUUGAGCCUUACUGUCUCUGUGUGUGUGUGUGUGUGUGUGUGUGUGUGUGUGUGUGUGUGUGUGUGUGUGUGUGUGUGUGUGUGUGUGUGUGUGUGUGUGUGUGUGUGUGUGUGUGUGUGUGUGUGUGUGUGUAUGUGUGUGUCUGUGUGAACAUGGUGGAGUGGGUAUUGGUUGAUUGUUCCGCCUUCAGCUAAUAGCGGAUGUAAUACCAGGAGUUAUGCAGCAGGGGGCGCCUUCCACCAAACAGAAGGACAACGCGCACGUAUUUUAUUUAUAACCUCGUUCUUAUCCGUUAAAGGGCUCCGAGCCGCAGGUAGGAGGCGUGUGGGUUUUACCUUCUCCUCAAAGGUCCCUCAAAGGAAAUAAAACAGAAAGUCUGGCGCAUAUUGAAACGUUCCCUAACCUGUCGACUUCACUGUGUGUGUGUGUGUGUGUGUGUGUGUGUGUGUGUGUGUGUGUGUGUGUGUGUGUGUGUGUGUGUGUGUGUGUGUGUGUGUGUGUGUGUGUGUGUGUGUGUGUGUGUGUGUGUGUGUGUGUGUGUGUGUUGCUGAAGACCCCCUACCUCGUAGACCGUAUUACCUCAGGGCAUUGGGCUGCAGUCAUGUUCUGUACAUCGUGAGGCCUGUAGGCCCGAGAUGCUUCAUCGGUAACAAGAAAUGCAGUUUUUGGCUUCAGUGUGGCAUUUUUUUGAAAUUAUUACUAUAAUUUUUAUUUUAUUAUUAGUUUGUGUGUGCGUGUGUGUGUGACCACAGCCAGCAUGGCCUCAUCACUCAGGAAGUGGGGACAUCGGACAACGUCUGCAGUUUGUGUCUUUCGGACAAUUCCGAAGUUAAUUCAGUUUUAAAAUUGAAAAAGAAAAAAGGAAAAAAAGGAACCUGACGUCUAAAUGAGAAGAGAAGGCAGGUGCAUAUGCAAGUGGUUAUCAAAUACCUCAUUAAUCAAUUUUAUGUUGUUUUUGGCUUGUACAAUGCUCCGUAUAUUAAUUAAUCUGUGGGGUUUGUGCAUAUUUUUGUACUGUUGUUAUUAUUGAUAUGAUAAUAAUGAUAUUACUGAUAUUAUAGUUUUUCUUUGAUUUAAACGUCAAACAAUAUUAGGGCAAAGCACAUGAAUGCUUGUAAAAAACCGGUUUGUGCUGGUUUAUAUUGAAGAGCACUUUUCCAAAGUGGUUUUUCACACAUUCUGUUUUGUUCACAUUAGUAAUAUAAAGAUAUGGUUCUCAGGGCUUUUAAACUUGUAUGUCAUGAUAAAGUUUUACUUUAUAUCUUACUCAAAUGUGUAUGACUGUUUUUAUUUUCACUCAACUCGCAUUUCCUAGAAGCGUCCAAUAUCAUCCCACUGCAGACACAAAUGGACGCCCAAGCCUGCAGCUGGAACCUUCUCGAAGCCUAAACGACAAGACACAGG